rfam:Oryza glumipatula chromosome 7, whole genome shotgun sequence.
UAUAAUUGUAAUAAGUUUCCGCGUCCAACUUUGAUCGUUCGUCUUAUUUAAAAUUUUUUUAUAAUUAGUAUUUGUAUUGUUAUGAGAUGGUAAAAUAUGAAUAGUACUUUACUCGUGACUUAUGCUUUUAAAUUUUUUUAAAAUUUUUUCAAAUAAGACGGACGGUUAAAGUUGAGCGCGAAAAACUAUGGCUGCACUUAUA